rnacentral:rRNA from 1 species
AUGCCGGUAUGAGUAGCGAAAGACGGGUGAGAAUCCCGUCCACCGAUUGACUAAGGUUUCCAGAGGAAGGCUCGUCCGCUCUGGGUUAGUCGGGUCCUAAGCUGAGGCCGACAGGCGUAGGCGAUGGAUAACAGGUUGAUAUUCCUGUACCACCUAGUAUCGUUUUAAUCGAUGGGGGGACGCAGUAGGAUAGGCGAAGCGUGCUGUUGGAGUGCACGUCCAAGCAGUAAGGCUGAGUGUUAGGCAAAUCCGGCACUCGUUAGGCUGAGCUGUGAUGGGGAGAGGAAAUUGUUUCCUCGAGUCGUUGAUUUCACACUGCCGAGAAAAGCCUCUAGAUAGAUAACAGGUGCCCGUACCGCAAACCGACACAGGU